rnacentral:rRNA from 1 species
UACAGAGGGUGCGAGCGUUGUCCGGAAUCACUGGGCGUAAAGGGCGCGUAGGUGGUUGGGUAAGCGUGUGGUGAAAGCCCGGGGCUCAACCCCGGGUCGGCCAUGCGAACUGCCCGACUGGAGCACGGUAGAGGCCAAUGGGAUUCCGGGUGUAGCGGUGGAAUGCGUAGAGAUCCGGAAGAACACCGGUGGCGAAGGCGGUUGGCUGGGCCGUGGCUGACACUGAGGCGCGACAGCGUGGGGAGCAAACAGG